rnacentral:rRNA from 1 species
GUUACCGGUGGGGCAUGGGUGUCGUCAGCUCGCGUCGUGAGAUGUUGGGUUAAUUCCCGCAACGAGCGCAACCCUUGUUCUUUGUUGCCAGCACGUGAUGGUGGGGACUCAUAGGAAACUGCCGGGGUCAACUCGGAGGAAGGUGGGGACGACGUCAAAUCAUCAUGCCCCUUAUGUCUUGGGCUUCACCCAUGCUACAAUGGCCGGUACAAAGGGUUGCGAUACUGUGAGGUGGAGCUAAUCCCAAAAAACCGGUCUCAGUUCGGAUUGGGGUCUGCAACUCCACCCCAUGAAGUCGGAGUCGCUAGUAAUCACAAAUCAGCAACGCUGCGGUGAAUACCUUCCCGGGUCUUGUACACACCG